rnacentral:rRNA from 1 species
GACGAACGCUGGCGGCGUGCUUAACACAUGCAAGUCGAACGGAAAGGCCCUGCUUUUGUGGGGUGCUCGAGUGGCGAACGGGUGAGUAACACGUGAGUAACCUGCCCUUGACUUUGGGAUAACUUCAGGUAACUGGGGCUAAUACCGGAUAGGAUCUCCUGCUGCAUGGUGGGGGUUGGAAAGUUUCGGCGGUUGGGGAUGGACUCGCGGCUUAUCAGCUUGUUGGUGGGGUAGUGGCUUACCAAGGCUUUGACGGGUAGCCGGCCUGAGAGGGUGACCGGCCACAUUGGGACUGAGAUACGGCCCAGACUCCUACGGGAGGCAGCAGGGGGGAAUAUUGCACAAUGGGCGGAAGCCUGAUGCAGAAACGCCGCGUGCGGGAUGACGGCCUUCGGGUUGUAAACCGCUUUCGCCUGUGACGAAGCGUGAGUGACGGUAAUGGGUAAAGAAGCACCGGCUAACUACGUG